UCAGUCGACUCCUACGGGGAGGCAGCAGUGGGGAAUAUUGCACAAUGGGGGAAACCCUGAUGCAGCCAUGCCGCGUGUGUGAAGAAGGCCUUCGGGUUGUAAAGCACUUUCAGUAGGGAGGAAGGUAGUGUAGUUAACACCUGCACUAUUUGACGUUACCUACAGAAGAAGCACCGGCUAACUCCGUGCCAGCAGCCGCGGUAAUACGGAGGGUGCGAGCGUUAAUCGGAAUUACUGGGCGUAAAGCGCAUGCAGGCGGCCUGUUAAGUCAGAUGUGAAAGCCCGGGGCUUAACCUCGGAAUUGCAUUUGAAACUGGCAGGCUAGAGUCUUGUAGAGGGGGGUAGGAAUUUCAGGUGUAGCGGUGAAAUAGCGUAGAGAUCUGAAGGAAUACCAGUGGCGAAGGCGGCCCCCUCGGACAAAGACUGACGCUCAGAUGCGAAAGCGUGGGGAGCAAACAGGAUUAGAUACCCUGGUAG
rnacentral:rRNA from 1 species